ensembl:lncRNA novel transcript
ACUACCAGUUCUAAUAGGCAAUAUAGGAAGGGCACACUCACUAAACUUCCUCCGUCCCUUCUAUUCUCAGCGCCCGCCUGGCAGGACGACUGAGCAAGGCUUUGGAAAACCAGAGAGAUUAGAGCGCAGAAUGGGGAAAUGGAGAGAGAACCUGAAAGAGCCCCAAACUCGAGGACCUAUUGCUCCCCAAGAAUAACAUCUUCCAGAACUAGACAGAAACUAAGCGUCUGGAAACCCUGAAAUCCUUGGAGGAGUAGCAUCAUCCUGACCCUCUGUGCUCCUUUUGGCAAAGGACUUGCUUCCAUUGUUUGUUUGUUCAAUUGUCUGUUUGUUAAAUAAAUAAAACUCUUUUCAUAUAUCUUUAAAAGUACGUUGGUUCUAUUAUUUUAUGAUUACAAACAAUGCUGCAGUCAUCAUUCUUCUACACUUGUCAUUGGCCACUGGUAUAUUUCCAUAGGGUGGAGGCCUGGAGAGCAGUUGUUCCAGCAUAGUGCUUACAUAGAUUUUAUUUCAUUCCGUUUUCUUUCCUUUGUUGCUUUAUUAGCUAUAACCCUUUUCUUAUUUCAGUGGCUGCUUUAGGGUUUCUGGGAUAUGUCUUUAAUUUAUCACAGUCUGCUUUCAGGUGUCAUUAUGUCUCCCUUUCUGGCCUUUAUCCUAGUGUUAUGUAAUUUUACUUUAUACAUUAUAAUCCUUGUGAUUCAUUAUUAUUACUUUUAUUUAUUACACCAAAUAUUUUUUAAAAGAUUUAAAUUCUAAGAAAAUGUGUAGUACAUGCUUUCUAAAUGCCAUUUCCAGUAUUCGUUUCUUUGUAUAGGCCCACAUUUUUAUCUGGUAUCCUUUUGCCUCUGCCUGGAGGACUUUUAAUAAGAUUUCUUGUAACGUGGGUUGGUGAAUUGUUUUAGCUUUUGUAUGUUUUUCGAUGUCCUUAUUUCACUCACAGUUUUGAAAUUUUAUUUUUGCAUAGAAUUCCAGGUUAACUUUUUUUCUCUGGGUACUUUAAAAAUGUUACCAUUUAUGAAGCAUUGCCAUUAUAAUAUCAUCUUUCUUUCCUGUGUUUGUAAGAAUGGCAUAAAGCCGGUUUCUUGCGGUGGUUAUAUAAUUUUCAGAAUGUGUACUUAAAUUUAAAAUAUUAAAUUUUACUAAAAAACUAAAAAUAUUAAUCAUGAACAUCCUAGAUUCAUCUUAAAUUCCACCAACAGUGCACUUAAAAUGUGCCCAACCUGAGGGUCAAACCUACCUGCUGACGUGUAAUUUGUGUUUGUGAGACAUUCUCAACAGCAUUUGCUUUCCCUAGCUGAGUGAUUUUCCUCACAUCUGAAUGUCUUCAGUACAAAAGGAAACCUUUGUCUUUGCAAAAAUACUUUCAAAUAUUCUUACUUCAAGUAAGUGCAUUAAAAACAAACUUCUCAGUUGCAUCCCUGGAAUCCGUGGAAAGCCCGGGAGAGACAGUCAAGUGGUUCAGGAUCAAGAGCUAAACAAGGGAAGACAAAGCGUGGCUUCUUCACUAGGAGUCCAGCCAAAGUCAACUGAUUUGGUCUCCAGUGGAGGUCGGAACUCGGUUCACCAGCGACGUGAGGACCCGGCCCAGAGGAGGCGGACUUUCUCUUCCUGGUGCCUUCAGAUAGGAAAUCUAGAAUUUCUUUCUUUCCCUUUGAUCUACUUCUAACUCUCCCGUUCUAUUUCUUCAAGACCUUUUUCGGAUCCCUACUGCGAAGGACCUAAGGGGCCGAUGCCCUUCCCUAACGGUCCCUCCCUGGCUGAGUGUCUUCGGAGCCCAAGCUCACCUGUAAGGUUACUGCCCUCCGGAGACAGCGAGAGGACCAAGGAGGGCGGCGGGUGCGGUGGGAACCACAGAGUCACCGCGCACCUGCGCCUCGCGGGCUCCUAGCAAAUUGAAUAAAUGAUCCCUGAAGCUUCUCUGCAGGUCACAGGGAAGGGGAGGGUAGGGGUCGACCCGCGGAAGAAGCUUCAAGAAGCAUCGGGAGGACCUGGCCCUGCCUCUGGGCCUUGAAAACAGGCCUGGCCAGGCUGAUUUUGUCGCGUAGGCCCAAAGAAAAGUGUCAAGGGCGGCCCAAACCCUGACCUCGAGAUUAAGGCUCUUAAAUGUCUGACGGUUUUGAGACUCGUCUGUAGAAUCGAUCCCGCCUGUAUCCGGAGACCGGAGACUCCUUUGCCAAAAUUCAGAGACCAAGAAAGAGAAAGAUUGGGCAGAUCAAAGUCUGUAAUUAACCCAAACAGGAAACGUAAUUUUUCUGACAAAUUGUAUGUGUGCUCUGAGAAAAAGACUAGCCUCAAGGAGAAUCUGUUUUUUUGGCUUGAGUGUAGGGAAGAAUGGAAUUGCCACCAACAAUGUUGCGUUGAAACGGCAGGUGCAUCAGGCUGUAGAUGUGAAGGAAUUAAAAAUAUUUCACCCCAAAAUACAUUUCUUUGACACAUUUUGAGAUGUCUGUUCAGAAAGCCAGCUGCAGAAGUAGCCCUGCAAAGUUGUAUUUUGUUGGGGAGAUUUGCAUCUGUAGGGAAUCUGCAUUGAUGCAGCCAAGUCUUUCUUUGCCCAGAUCUAGGAAAGAUUAACUGAGAGUCUGACAGCUGUAAAGGUCUCAAAGAAACUUUUAGGGUUUACUGUCUCUGAGAGCUGCUACCUGUAAGGUUUCAUUUACAUAUUAAGACCACCUUUGCUAGCUAAGCCUCCUCUUCUCUCCCUCCUAUAACCUGUCUUGCCCACAAUAAAUGGAUAUACAUCUGA